UGCCAGCCGCCGCGGUAAUACGGAGGAUGCAAGCGUUAUCCGGAUUCAUUGGGUUUAAAGGGUGCGCAGGUGGGCUUUUAAGUCAGUGGUGAAAUACUGCCGCUUAACGGUAGAAUUGCCAUUGAUACUGAGAGUCUUGAGUAUGGUUGAGGUAGGCGGAAUGUGUUGUGUAGCGGUGAAAUGCAUAGAUAUGACACAGAACGCCGAUUGCGGAGGCAGCUUACUAAGCCAUUACUGACACUGAGGCACGAAAGCGUGGGGAGCGAACAGGAUUAGAUA
rnacentral:rRNA from 1 species